UCAGCAAGUCUCUCAGCCAGAACCAUGAGUCAAUUCUUUUGUUGAUUUCUUAAAUCAAAUGUUGCUGUUCUGAAAAACUGAACUGUCUCCGAAAAGGAACAAGAACAAGCAGGCAGAGAUUUAAAGGGAUCAGCAAACAAAGCAAGAGUGAAGCACUGUUUGAUUUGACCAGUCAUGGAUCAAGUAUCCUUAAGGGAGCAGCUGAGUACAAUCACAGUGAAGGUGCUGUCUUGUGAAAUUAAUCCCAAAU